ensembl:lncRNA
AUGAACAGGCUCCCGGAGCACCGGGAUCCGGGAUCCGGCGUGGAGCCGGGCGGGGAGCGGCGGCUUGGGAAGAGACGCAGUGACCGGAAAGGGGGAUGCAGUGACCGGGGAGGGGAUGCAGUGACCGGGGAGGGGACGCGGUGUCCGGUCCCGCCCCGCUGCCGGCAGCUCCCCCCCCCCCCCCCCCCGAGCCGCCACUGCGCCGGUGCCGCUGCCGCGGGCUCCGCGCCGGGGAUGCUCGGAGGAUGCGCGGAUGAUGCGCGGAGGAUGCGCCGGGGAUGCUCGGAGGAUGCGCGGAGGAUGCUCGGAGGAUGCGCCUGGGAUGCUCGGCGGGCUCCGCGCCGGGGAUGCUCGGAGGAUGCGCGGAUGAUGCGCGGAGGAUGCGCCGGGGAUGCUCGGAGGAUGCGCGGGGGACCCGCAGCGCCCAGCCCACGCCGUGGUUUCCACAUCCUGCUGAUACAGGAAAUAGGUAGCCGUGGUUAUGGAGUUCUCUUAAGCCAAGCAGUGGCAGCAUCCCUUGGAAAGUUUUUCCGCCCCAAAGGCAUCGGCAGCUCAGCUGGAGGGCUGGAGGUGAGGAGUACUCCUGUUACCAGCUCCUUAUUAAAUUCUCGGGAAUGGCUGGAAUUGGGGGUGAGUCGAGCCACACUGUUCCAGGCAGUGACUAAUGAGGACUAAUCCAGAUUGUUUUCCAUGUCUCCAGCAGAAGAAAGCGUGGCUUGUGUGGCUGAUGGAGCCAGCCUUUCUGGAAUGUGAAUAAGAGCUUUCUCUUAAUGGGCAUAGCUGUGCUGCCUUGAUAACUGCACUUGAUAAGCCUGCUGAAGCUAAAUAAGCAAGUUUUACCUGUGGAAAUAAAGAAAUAUUUAUGUUUUGAUGUAUAUGUGUCCAUUUAUAUGUAUGCUUGUAUUCAGAAAUGUCUUAUCCCACCUCCCAGUAUUUGAAGGGAUUUUACAGAAAAGGAGAGCAACAUUUUUCACACACAGCAAUAAGACAAGGGGGAACAUUUUUAAACUAAAAGAGGAGAGAUUUAAAUUAGUUAUUAGGAAGAAAUUCCUUGCAGUGAGGAUGGUGAGGUCCUGGCACAGGUUGCCUAGAGAAGCUGUAUUGGCCCCAUCCCUGGAAGUCUCCAAGGCCGGGCUGGAUGGGGCUUGGAGCAAUCUAAUGGAAGGUGUGGAAGGUGUCCUCCCCACGGCAGGGAGCUGGGAUGAGUUGGUCUUUAAGCUCCCUGCCAACCCAAACCAUUCUGGGAUUCUGUGCUUUCUCAUCUUUAGGAAAAUUUAAAAUCAGAAUUAUAUAUUUAUAUUUGGUAGUGAAAGAUGGCUGAUCAUUGAAUAUUUAACUUUAUUUAACAUAGCCUAUGUUUUAUGUGCUGAGUGUAUAUUUUCUACAUAUCUAAUAGUAGAUGAUUCUGUUUCUCCUACUGCAUAUCUAAUAGUCUGUCCCAUUCUUUGAAUCACUGCUCUAAAUUUAUAAUAUCGGAAGAAUCCCUGAUGAAACAGGUGCUUUAUUUUCUAGGGAGGACUGUAAGAAGAGCUGAGAAUGAGAUGGACUUACCAUGAAGGACACAAAGCUCUGAGUGAUGAUGAGCUGCAGAUGAA